UACGAAGGGGGCUAGCGUUGCUCGGAAUUACUGGGCGUAAAGAGCUCGUAGGUGGUUUGUCGCGUUGUCCGUGAAAACUCACAACUCAAUUGUGGGCGUGCGGGCGAUACGGGCAGACUGGAGUACUGCAGGGGAGACUGGAAUUCCUGGUGUAGCGGUGGAAUGCGCAGAUAUCAGGAGGAACACCGGUGGCGAAGGCGGGUCUCUGGGCAGUAACUGACGCUGAGGAGCGAAAGCAUGGGGAGCGAACAGG
rnacentral:rRNA from 1 species